UGCCAGCCGACGCGGUAAUACGCACGGUCCAAGCGUUAAUCGGAAUUACUGGACGUAAAGCGCGCGUAGGCGGCUUGUUAAGUCAGAUGUGAAAUCCCCGAGCUCAACUUGGGAACUGCAUUUGAUACUGGCAGGCUAGAGUAUGUUAGAGGAAAGCGGAAUUCCGGGUGUAGCGGUGAAAUGCGUAGAUAUCCGGAGGAACAUCAGUGGCGAAGGCGGCUUUCUGGAACAAUACUGACGCUGAGGAGCGAAAGCGUGAGGAGCAAACAGGAUUAGAUA
rnacentral:rRNA from 1 species